rnacentral:rRNA from 1 species
UUUUUCUUCGUAUUUUUUCAUCUCCUCGGGCAAACUAGCAUAUCAAUAAGCGGAGGAAAAGAAACUAACAAGGAUUCCCCUAGUAACUGCGAGUGAAGCGGGAAAAGCUCAAAUUUAAAAUCUGGCGGUCUCUGGCUGUCCGAGUUGUAAUCUAGAGAAGUGAUGCCCGCGCUGGACCGUGUACAAGUCUCCUGGAAUGGAGCGUCAUAGAGGGUGAGAAUCCCGUCUCUGACACGGACUACCAGGGCUUUGUGGUAUGCUCUCAAAGAGUCGAGUUGUUUGGGAAUGCAGCUCUAAAUGGGUGGUAAAUUCCAUCUAAAGCUAAAUAUUGGCGAGAGACCGAUAGCGAACAAGUACCGUGAGGGAAAGAUGAAAAGAACUUUGGAAAGAGAGUUAAACAGUACGUGAAAUUGCUGAAAGGGAAACGCUUGAAGUCAGUCGCGUUAGCUAGGACUCAGCCUCGCUCUUGCGUGGUGUACUUUCUGGUUGACGGGUCAGCAUCAAUUUUGACUGCUGGAAAAAGGUCUUGGGAAUGUGGCAGCUUCGGCUGUGUUAUAGCCCUUGGUCACAUACAGCGGUUGGGAUUGAGGAACUCAGCACGCCGCAAGGCCGGGUUUCGACCACGUUCGUGCUUAGGAUGCUGGCAUAAUGGCUUUAAGCGACCCGUCUUGAAACACGGACCAAGGAGUCUAACAUGCCUGCGAGUGUUUGGGUGGUAAACCCGAGCGCGUAAUGAAAGUGAAAGUUGAGAUCCCUGUCGUGGGGAGCAUCGACGCCCGGACUUGAGCUUUUGUGACGGAUCCGCGGUAGAGCAUGUAUGUUGGGACCCGAAAGAUGGUGAACUAUGCCUGAAUAGGGUGAAGCCAGAGGAAACUCUGGUGGAGGCUCGUAGCGAUUCUGACGUGCAAAUCGAUCGUCAAAUUUGGGUAUAGGGGGCGAAAGACUAAUCGAACCAUCUAGUAGCUGGUCCUGCGCGUUUCCCCCCUACUCACCCUAGGGGGAGGAAAAA